GCCGGUGUGGUGGAAUUGGCAGACGCGCCGGACUCAAAAUCCGGUGGGGGCAACUCCGUGCGGGUUCGACUCCCGCCACCGGCACCA
rnacentral:tRNA from 1 species